ensembl:lncRNA
CGCUGCCAUUCUUACUGCUUUAUUUUUUCAAACAACAUAGAAGUUAAAGCUUUGUUUAAAAGAACAGCUUUUUCUUGUAGUCGGUGAUGUCUCAUCCACUAUAACAUCAAAAUGUUUCAGUUAGUUGUCGAUCACUAUACAGAUGAGAGGGGAAUAAUUGGCUGCCUUCAACGAGGCACAGAAAUGAAAAUAUUCUCUACAAGCAAAAAAAAAGAUCCUUGGCUCCAUAUCACUGUUUGCUCAACGUUUAUGAUAACUGAGAGAUACCUCUUUGACUAUAAAGCAAUGAAAACUUAAAGUUAUUAUCUACUUCCAGAGGACUGGGGAGCUUAUUUACUGAAUCAUACAGCAAUGUAUCGUUCAGAUAAGUUAGCAUUUGGUCUGGAAAAUUGUGAAAUACGAUAUUUCAACACUUCUCCUCUCCUGCCAAGGGAGCUUCGGAAUCACAGAAGACAGUUUAUUUUGAACAUAUGGAAAAGAUGAGGAAUGUCCUCCCAGAGAUAACCAUCUCCAACCUGCAGUUGACAGGAUCUUCAGACCUUCUCCAGCUAUUAGACGUUACUUUUGUACAUUAGGACAGCGGGAGUCACGUGAGGAGCAACCAUACCUUUAACACCCAUUUCUCUGGCUCAUGAGGACACAGUGCAUCACCAACCAGUGAGCAAGACAGAUCUGAGGAGAUUUUCCAAGUACUUGAUGGCAGCCUUAAGUUAAAUUAAUGCAUCUGAAGGAAGCAAAAGUGUCUCAUUACAAAAAGUGCCAUGGAAAAGGUUGGAUAGUUAAAUAGAUGAGCUCUGAAUACUUCUUUCCCUUACAAACUCCAAACACUGUAGGAGUAGAAGCAUUUAACAUGAAGAGAUGAGUUUGCAGUGCAGGGAUGGUCACACCCAGGCAAGGAAGAAGAAGGAAGCAAAUCACAGCAAAUCACAGAAUCUAAUGCAGGUGUCACCACCACAGCUUGCAAAAUCCAUAAGCCCGAAGGAGUCAACCUGUGCAUUGUAUAGACUGUCAAUAAUGCAAAGCAGUACUCUCAGAGGAUGACAAAGGUGGCACUGAAUAUUUGACUGCUCAGCAACAACACUUCUGGUCAUUUUGAAUCUACAUAGCAGGCUUGUUAGGAUCAUUCUUUCACAAAAGGAAGAAGAGGACUUAGAGGACGGGGUAAGAGAAAUUAGUAGCCAGUUGUCCUUCUGAACACAGACUGCAAAAUAUUAGUCUCUCUUCUCAACAAGAGACAAGAGGAAAUACCAAGGAAAAGCAGUUAAAGGUCACAGAAUGGCACAUUUUUCGUGUAGUUUAGUAGAAGUAUGUGAAAGCAGCUGUAGAGAAUGGAUAAAUUAUGUUUUAACUUCGGACUGAGCUCAUAAUGUUCAACAAAAAUAUCUACCUUCCCUAUUUAUAGCUGGUUCUGUCAUAAUACUGUGUGCUACUGUGAUUUAUUAGCUGACAAUGGCUUUGAUUAAUCAAUGUGAAAGUCAUCCUCUUAAUAAAGAAGUCAUAAUGAG